rnacentral:rRNA from 1 species
UACGUAGGGUGCGAGCGUUGUCCGGAAUUAUUGGGCGUAAAGAGCUCGUAGGCGGUGUGUCACGUCGGCCGUGAAAACCUGCAGCUUAACUGUGGGCGUGCGGUCGAUACGGGCAUCACUGGAGUUCGGCAGGGGAGACUGGAAUUCCUGGUGUAGCGGUGAAAUGCGCAGAUAUCAGGAGGAAUACCGAUGGCGAAGGCAGGUCUCUGGGCUGACACUGACGCUCAUGCACGAAAGCGUGGGGAGCAAACAGG